rnacentral:lncRNA from 1 species
GAGCCCCUGGUGGCUGGAGGUUGAUCCUCUCUCUAUUCUGUGCUCAGCUUAGCAUUCCUUUGGCUCUUUCUGAAUCAGUGAUUAAUGUUUGCCUUUAUAGCUCAGAGAAAUUUGUCAUCUUGAGAUUAGUAAUAUGUCAGCGGCGUGUGCCCUACCUACAGCACAAGCUAGCUGUGGGGACUGCAAGGAUCAGGCACGGUGCCUGUCUUGGUAUCUACAAGAGUAAGGAGCACCUUCUUCUCACCCCUACAAAGCGCUGCCCAGAGAUGAGAGCGGCCGUUGUUUAUCGGACAUUAGCUUUUACUCAUUUCCAAGGGAAACGCUGGAAAGGAAAACAAAUGAAUGAAUGCUGCUUAGUCACAACCCUGGGGGAAAUUGGAGGUGCCACUACAUGGAAAGUCAACAAAGAGUCUUCAGCCAUCUUCUCCAUUACACUAUCAUUUAUUAGCCCAGGACCACCAGCCCAGGUCUGUAGCAGUAAAGAGGCCCACUGAUGUCCAUCAUGAACUAUGAAAACUCAACGCAGGUCAAUCCAGUGGGGGCAUUUUCUCAGUGAAGGUUCCUUCUUCCUGGUGGAUGGCUUUGAAUGGCAUUGCUUGCCAAGGUUCAGACUUGCUGAGACAAAGGGAGACUGAAUGGAGUCCUGAAGUCAACGUGUGAACAUCAGCUAGUGCCUUCAUUCCCAUGUUCCGUGGUUAUGCAAGCCCACUGCUUUGGAAUUUCAACAUAGCCUUGAACCGUCACCAACUUUAAUUUUCCUCACACUUCCACCAGUAGUAAUUGGGCCUCCCUCCUGCUGCUGCUGUGGCUGCUGGCAUUGUAGUUCGUGUCUUUCCUUUGCUUCCAGUGACUUUGUUUAAUUCCUC